UCAAGAGACUUGAGGCCUCAGGAAGUGAGGAGGUGCCAAGAACAUCCUUCAUGAUGUAGUAAUCAAGAAACUUCCAAAGCAUUCCAAACUGACACUUCUGUGUAAAAAUUACUCUUAUUUGAGACCGACCUGUUUAACAUUUAGACACAACUUAGUGUGCCUUAGUGUAUCCAAGAGCACACUGGUAAAAUAAAGAUCAAAUACUAUACAUA